rnacentral:rRNA from 1 species
CUACGGAAGGCAGCAGUGGGGAAUAUUGCGCAAUGGGCGAAAGCCUGACGCAGCGACGCCGCGUGAGGGAUGAAGGCCUUCGGGUUGUAAACCUCUUUCAGCAGGGACGAAGCGAAAGUGACUGUACCUGCAGAAGAAGCACCGGCUAACUACGUGCCAGCAGCCGCGGUAAUACGUAGGGUGCAAGCGUUGUCCGGAAUUAUUGGGCGUAAAGAGCUCGUAGGCGGUCUGUCGCGUCGGAUGUGAAAACUCGGGGCUCAACCCCGAGCCUGCAUUCGAUACGGGCAGACUAGAGUUCGGUAGGGGAGACUGGAAUUCCUGGUGUAGCGGUGAAAUGCGCAGAUAUCAGGAGGAACACCGAUGGCGAAGGCAGGUCUCUGGGCCGACACUGACGCCGAGGAGCGAAAGCGUGGGGAGCGAACAGGAUUAGAAACCCGGGUAGUCCU